GUUUGCCAAGUAUAGAUAAUUCUUUAAUUCAUAAUGCCUCUUAAUAAGUUUACGCGAGGUUACAUUUAGCACGACGCAGGAAAGAACUGGGUGGCGCAAAAAUGGACCUUACCUCUCAUGUUUUUUACUAUUUUGUUGAAUAUUUGCCUGCAGUUAUAAUAAUACGGUAAUAGUUUUGGAUUAGUCCAGCGAAGCCUCAGGUAAACAAUAAUUGUCUUAGAAGUGUAGUGUCUACACAGUGUGUAGCUAGUGCAGGCUCAUGAAAACGACAAAUGGAAACAAGGUUCACAUCAGCAUAGUGUCUAAAAAUAAUCAAUUCAAGAGUCUCAGAAAUUUGUCGGAUUAACCCAUGUUGUUGUUACACCCGCACAAAUUCCAGUGAUCUACUUAGAUCCAAAAUUAUUCUGUGAGCUUAUGUCAUCGAUACAUUAGACUGAGCUACAGCCUACAAAUGUAAAAUUAAUGAUAAAUAGAUGGAGGCCAGAGCAAAUGUUUAGCUAACGGAGAACAUCUAGUUCAAUUAUUUGGAGAUUACAUUAGAUUUUCAUGAUUUUGUUUGCACACGUUCUUUAUAUAUUUGAUUUAAUUUAACAUUAUUUAGUUCCGGUUCCAUUUUUAAGUAAAUAAACUACAGCAAUCAGACAUGUAGAUAGAAUUAGAGGUAACAUAUUAAUUUGUUUACAUAAACUAAAUAUUUAGAAUGAACUGUUUUGUUUUCACA